AUUGAACGCUGGCGGCAGGCUUAACACAUGCAAGUCGAGCGGGGUGAUGGUGCUUGCACUAUCACUUAGCGGCGGACGGGUGAGUAAUGCUUAGGAAUCUGCCUAUUAGUGGGGGACAACAUCUCGAAAGGGAUGCUAAUACCGCAUACGUCCUACGGGAGAAAGCAGGGGAUCACUUGUGACCUUGCGCUAAUAGAUGAGCCUAAGUCGGAUUAGCUAGUUGGUGGGGUAAAGGCCUACCAAGGCGACGAUCUGUAGCGGGUCUGAGAGGGUGAUCCGCCACCCUGGGACUGAGACACGGCCCAGACUCCUACUGGAGGCAGGAGUGGGGAAUAUUGGACAAUGGGGGGAACCCUGAUCCAGCCAUGCCGCGUGUGUGAAGAAGGCCUUAUGGUUGUAAAGCACUUUAAGCGAGGAGGAGGCUCUUUUGGUUAAUACCCAAGAUGAGUGGACGUUACUCGCAGAAUAAGCACCGGCUAACUCUGUGCCAGCCGCCGCCGUAA
rnacentral:rRNA from 1 species